GGGGAUGCAUUGGGCUUCGACGGGGGAAUUUAGACCUUGACUGCCAGGGGGUGUUCCAUUUGACCCGAAAUCGGUGGAAAAUAUUUAAACGCUAAAAGCGAUUACGCUUUAGCUGCCUAAUUAGGCGGCUUGUCAGCCCGGGUGGUCCUACGAACUCGGAAUCUGGCAUCAACUUAGUAGGAAACCUUAUGGGGGCUGUCUCAUACCCAUAUUGUACUUAGAGGCUGGUCUGUUGUUGGUUUGUCGGUGGACGCUCAGCAGAUAAGACCCAAUCAUCGACUAUCCUGGUAGACGUCAUUGUUGACGUUCUUUCGGACGGGGGUUCGACUCCCCCCAUCUCCACCA
rnacentral:tmRNA from 1 species